GAGUUUGAUUCUGGCUCAGGACGAACGCUGGCGGCGCGCUUAACACAUGCAAGUCGUGCGAUACCUCGAGCAAGUCUUACGACAAGCUCAAGGUGUAGCGGCGGACGGGUGAGUAACACGUGAGUAGCUGUCCUAAGGAGGGGGAUAACGCCUGGAAACGGGUGCUAAAACCCCAUAUGCCUCGCAAGAGGUGAAAGUGUAGCUUGCUACAGCCUUAGGGUGUGCUCGCGGCCUAUCAGCUAGUUGGUGAGGUAACGGCUCACCAAGGCUAAGACGGGUAGCCGGCCUGAGAGGGUGUACGGCCACACUGGAAUUGAGAUACGGUCCAGACUCCUACGGGAGGCAGCAGUGGGGAAUCUUGGGCAAUGGGCGAAAGCCUGACCCAGCGACGCCGCGUUGGGGAUGAAGCCCUUCGGGGUGUAAACCCAUGUUGUAGGGGACGAAGAAAGUGACGGUACCCUACGAGGAAGCCCCGGCUAACUACGUGCCAGCAGCCGCGGUAAGACGUAGGGGGCGAGCGUUGUCCGGAAUUACUGGGCGUAAAGGGCACGCAGGCGGUGCGCCAAGUCGAGGGUGUAAAGUUACGGCUCAACCGUGACAUUGCAAUCGAUACUGGCGCACUGGGAGUGCGGGAGAGGGAAGUGGAAUUCCCGGUGUAGCGGUGAAAUGCGUAGAUAUCGGGAGGAACGCCAGUGGCGAAAGCGGCUUCCUGGCCCGCGACUGACGCUCAUGUGCGAAAGCCAGGGGAGCGAACCGGAUUAGAUACCCUGGUAGUC
rnacentral:rRNA from 1 species